GUUAACAACUUGCAAGAGAUCAUGGCAUACCCAAACACAGCAAGCAAACAAGGACAACUUUCCCACUGCAAUUAUAAUAAAAGACUAAUGCAUCUCAAUCCAACGAAUUUAAGGAUAGAUUUAGGAACAUACUAAGCAGAAAACAUAGUAUGGAUAAUGAUUCUUCAACAAUGCGCUAUUACUUGGACAAAAAUCUCGAGCAAAAAACUCUCAAGCCUCAAGUCUAUGGGUAUAAUGAGGUACCCAACUUACCCAUCAUCAGUUUCAAAAAGAGUUGAGGAUAAGAAUGUACGAUGUCAGAAUGACACGAUGUUGGCUAAAACAACCACCUAAAAUUAUUUUAGGUCCAGAACUACCAGAUAAAUUGCCACAGAAACAAGUCCUCUAAUUUGCUCAAAAGCCCAUUGUCCUACACCUCUGACUAUGCCUAUGGCUUAAGAGCCAAGGCUAGUCCAAAUUUGGCACUUUUGUCAACAGCUUUGGUGUCCACCUCUCCUGAAAUGGUGAAGAGAGACUUUGGACGCCACUCGUGCUGGAUCAGAGCAGUUGCCAUCCCAAAGUUGUUAACCCUUGCCUUAACAGUUGUCAAGGGAUCCAAUUGAUGCUGAGUUCCAACAGUGAUGGUGUUCUCACUGGUAGAGAAGCUAUGGGUCACCUCCGCACCAACAGCAGUACUAGUCAGGGGGCUGACUAUGUGGUAGUAUGAUGCACUCAAUGAAUCUCCCUUGUUAUUAAGAUUCAAAGAAGUAAUGAGGUCGGCAUUUGUGAAACGCAAGCCUGCAUUGCACUUUGUGAUAGCUCCCGCUUUGGUGUCAAAGGAUACAUCAGUU
rnacentral:misc_RNA from 1 species